UUGGCAAUUAAGGUGUCGAGCAGUUUGGAUAGUCCUAGCCAUUGAAGAUGUCCAAACCGUAAGUCCUUUUUCACCUAUCGAAAACUUAGCAACAUAUUCAGGAAGAAGAGCAGCAUAUUUUAGUCCUUGAGGACUUAAGCUUGAGUCACCACCUAUUUUUCCUUCAACAUUAAAUUGACUUUCACCAUGUCGGCUUAGCCAAAUACUUCGUCGACGCGUACGCAAAUUAGAGAGAUAAUAAACAAUCCUAGAUUCAAGGUAAUUUUCAAGUUUAUGAACUAUCAGUUCGGCUCCAAAGUCCACAAUUCUAACGAAAGUACAUUCUUCAGCCUCGGACAAAGGUGUGUAGUGUUUCUCAUACUCAUGAAUACUAUCAAGGAUUUUAUUCUUCGAUUCUUCGAACGGAAAGCUUUUGAAAUAUGGUGAAUGCUGACACAUAUCAGUAAUGUUUUCAUCGAUAAUUUUUUGAUUUGUGCAGACAACCUCGACAAACAUUAAGAGCAUAUUCCGCGCUUUUGCCAACUCCACUAUACUUUUCCGAAACUUUAGUGUACAUUGGUUAAAAUCAAGAAUCGCAACAUCAGUACCCUUUUUAAAAACGCUCUCCAGAUUAUCGAAUAUGGGGCUAAGAGUUUUAGCUAAAUUCUCUGAAUCACUGUUAGAAUUUUCGGACAACGAAUUAUCAAUUUCUUUCGUAUCAUAAAGGUGAGUAGAAACGGACAUCCAUGUCAAAUAUCUGGAUAAUUUCAUUGCAGAAGAUGUCUUGCCAGAUGCGGGUAACCCCACAAAGCAAACACAUAGGCCCAAAAGUCCUUCAAUGUCUUUCAUGUUCGAUCUUAAUGUAAAAAAGUUAGUUCUUAAUUUAAAUUUUGGGUGUGGUUAUGUUGCAAACAAAUAUUAAAGAAUAAAUCAUAAGAAUAUGACCAGGUUGCUAAUCCUGCCAGAAUCGGGUUGAAUUAUUAAGUGAAUAUGUUAAAUAAUGAAUAUAUGUUAAAGAGUCGUAUUUCGCUCGAAAUGUAUGAUUCGCCUUGAAGAGCUUGAUGGACGGUUUGCAGUACUCGUACUUAUGUUAAGUAUCCUUAGAGUAUGUAGUGAACUCGUCAAUGCGUUAAAAAGCUAUAAUUUUUAAAAAGAAAAACGAUUAAAUUAAUAAUAUUUAACAGAACGGCUUAAAAUAUACAAGUUCAGAACAUUGCACUCCUGCUAACAUAAACAAGAGGGGUAUACGUGUAAGUUCAAGCUUAAUAUACUAAAUUGCAGGUCUUCGUUACGCAGUAUUAUUGCGAGAGAUGUUUACGCUUCCGUAAGCUACAUUAAGUGAUCUCAAGUCUUUGACUUGGUACUAGGAGUAGUUAAAUCCACUAUUAAAAUAAUAUUCAAAAUUAAGUGUGAGCAUUUCCAUUUCUAUAAGCAUAAUUAUGCUAAGCUGAUUGUAAAAGUGUAUAUAAUCAUUUUCGUAAUAUUGUGGAGUUUUCAUACAAAAACUGUCGGGUAAGGCAUAACUUCAUCAUUUUUUCAGUAAUGUGAAUUGUGAAUUAAGAUUCUGGAUUGGAAGUAUUAGAAAACGUUGCUGAACUGUAUGAUCUUUUAAAAAAUUCAUUUUUAUAACAUGUUCAUUGAAAAUAUUAAACCAGAAUGCCCCUAAAUUGGAAGAAGUAUGUAUCCUAAAUAUUGAACAUGAACAACACUUAUGAAAUUGAAAGAAAGCUUGGCUUUUUCAUAUAUUUCAUUUACUGUUUAAAACCGAGUAAAACUUGAGUCAAAAGCCUCAGUGAUUCAAUGGUCAAAGUUGCCCAAUAUUUAACACUGACUUAAUAAAAGUUAGAAAUAUUAAUUUUGUCUGCUAUAUUUUUUUCGUGUGUUAUCCAUACUACAAUAGUUUGUUAAGGGCUCUAACAAUUAUGAAAAUCUUAAAUUACUAAUUGAUAUUGGUAGGAAGCUUGGAGCAAUUAAAGAAAAUAAAGUUACAAUUACCAAUCACGUAAAAUGAUCUGAAUUAGUCACUUGAUAAAGUUGGGUAGCAUCGCUUUGUUCAGUAGCAAGAUUGACAUCUAUGAAGUCUAAUGAAAUAAAGAGUGAACUUCGAGUGUUCAAAGAGCGUUUUCUGCUAAUUAAGAGUUAUAGCAAUACUGUUCUUUAGUUAUUGAAAUGCACAGUUAGACACUUUUUUUGAAAGAGCCGGAACGCAAAAAACGAAACACUUUAAGAGUAAUAUUUCGGAAAUGAUUACGAAACGAAAACCAACCUCCCUUAGCAUACGUUGGUAGUACUAGACGAGGCCAAUUAACGUAUUGUCUACGAUGAAAAUAUAGGUAGAUUCCAGCAUUCACCAUAGGGAUAGAAUAUAACAGACGACAGAACAGACUUGGAUUUCCAAAUAAUUCUUGUAUAGUUAAUAUUAUCGUGGUGAACAAAAAAAUUCCAGGUGCCACAAAUCUAGUCCAGUGAAAACGCAAAGGCAAGUCCGGAAUCGAAAGUGAGUCGUAAGGACGAAAUACUCCAAGACCCAAAUCAUAGCUAUCUUGCAGCAUACCGUCAAAAA
rnacentral:lncRNA from 1 species